ACUCUUACGGGAGGCAGCAGUGGGGAAUAUUGCACAAUGGGCGCAAGCCUGAUGCAGCCAUGCCGCGUGUAUGAAGAAGGCCUUCGGGUUGUAAAGUACUUUCAGCAGUGAGGAAGGCGGGUACGUUAAUAGCGUGCUCGUUUGACGUUAGCUGCAGAAGAAGCACCGGCUAACUCCGUGCCAGCAGCCGCGGUAAUACGGAGGGUGCGAGCGUUAAUCGGAAUUACUGGGCGUAAAGCGCAUGCAGGUGGUUUGUUAAGUCAGAUGUGAAAGCCCGGGGCUCAACCUCGGAAUUGCAUUUGAAACUGGCAGACUAGAGUACUGUAGAGGGGGUAGAAUUUCAGGUGUAGCGGUGAAAUGCGUAGAGAUCUGAAGGAAUACCGGUGGCGAAGCGGCCCCUGGACAGAUACUGACACUCAGAUGCGAAAGCGUGGGAGCAAACAGGAUUAGAUACCCCGUGUAGCACAGAG
rnacentral:rRNA from 1 species